CGGCAUUCGUGUUCUUUCUUUCGUAGUACAUAGUUGCAUUUGCGUAUAUUUUUUUGAAAUUAAUAUUUUGAAUAUAUUUAAAAAAUUUAAUUUCAUCUUUUGAAAAUGGAGUAUGAGGAAAAAAUCGAAUUAAUUAAAGAUAUUGUGAAAUGUAUGGAGGAAGCCAUACUUAUUGAUUCAGACGAUAGUAAAAAGGGUGAUAUAUCUUUGUUUUAAUAAAUAAAAUGUAUUUCUUAAUUGA